rnacentral:rRNA from 1 species
CCUACGGGCGGCAGCAGUGAGGAAUAUUGGUCAAUGGCCGGAAGGCUGAACCAGCCAUGCCGCGUGAAGGUCAGUGCCCUAUGGGCGUUAAACUUCUUUUGUGCGGGAGCAAUAAUGGUCACGUGUGGCCAGACGAGAGUACCGUACGAAUAAGCAUCGGCUAACUCCGUGCCAGCAGCCGCGGUAAUACGGGGGAUGCAAGCGUUAUCCGGAUUUAUUGGGUUUAAAGGGUGCGUGGGCUGUGAGGUAAGUCAGCGGUGAAAUGCCCCCGCUCAACGGGGUGAAGUGCCAUUGAUACUGCCUGGCUUGAAUGCGGAUGCCGUGGGAGGAAUGUGUGGUGUAGCGGUGAAAUGCAUAGAUAUCACACAGAACACCGAUUGCGAAGGCAUCUCACGAAUCCGCGAUUGACGCUGAUGCACGAAAGCGUGGGUAUCAAACAGGAUUAGAUACCCCAGUAGUC